AAAAGAAGAAUUCUUUUAAAUAAAUAUAUCUGGAAAUUAGCCAUUCGUCAGAGUGCAGAGUACUUGAAGUAGAAUACAACAUUUAAUUAUAGACAAUUAUUACAUUCUUCUAAAUGCGUGUAAGCAUAGAAACUAGAUUGAUGCUGAUGAUGGAUGCUAAUUCAAGAAUAUAUAUAUACUUAAUGGGAUCUAUGAAAGCUUCUUUCUGAGUGUAGUGCAAACAGUUUGAAAAAAUGAAUAUACCCUCAUAUGUAUGUAACUAAUGAUGGUAACAUGUUCGUGUUCGUGCUGCUACCGUCUCUCAGCAAUCUCAAUCGAUUCAGUCGUAUUAUGUUCAUUUGUUCAUUGUUUCAUUUGCUUAGUUUGCUCAGUCUUCAAAAGUCGUUCGUUUGGAGCGUUUGGAGCUUAUGAUAAGAAUAUCUAAAUGAAUAAUGAUAUUAAAAAAAAAGUAUAUAGAAAAAGUGUAUGCAAUAAAAAAUUGUUCAAUUUCUUCAAGGCUUUUUUACGAAAUCGUAAUAUUUUUGGAGAACAUAAGAAUAAGAACGGAUGAUUAACCUGAAGAAAUAUACGUAAAGUGAUAAAAGGAAAAAUGUAAAAAAUAAAAAAAAAAAAAAUUGUUUUCGAAAAUAAAUAAAAAGAACAAAAAGUGAAUGUUGUUCCUUAACGAAGAAAAAUACAUCAAUUAACGAAUAUUUGAAUUUUAUUUACUUAAAAAACAUUUUGAAUGCACUUUAACACUUGAGUUAAAGUUAUUGCGAACGGAUUUUAAUGAACAAAAAAGAGAAAAAAACUACUUAAAUAUGAAUAUAUGUCUUUGCACAUAUACAUAUAGGUAAGAUAGUUAAGUUAAUGAGCCCUAGGUGGUGAAUGUCAAUCAUUAUAUGCGAAUCGAAUGUAAACUUAUCUAUGAAUUCUUUUCAUGAGUUGCAACAACUUGAGCGGACAAAGAAGUUUAGCGUUCUGCUAAGAUUAUUUAGCGUCCGAGUUAAAGUCUUUCAUAAUAAUUUUUAUAUAAUUUUUGAAAAGUCGGUUAAUUGUAUAAAAUUUGCGAUGAAUAUCUCCAUUUUUGUUAGAUUGUCCUUACAAGGGGAAAUGCUAUCGUGAAAAGUCUUCAAACAUAUCAAUUCAGUACAUAUUGUAUAUAAUAUAUCGCACUUUAAUAUAAUCGAAGAGUAACUUAAUUAACAUAAAAGUAUCGGGUAAUGCCAGAGAUAAAAAUUCGAUUUUAUAAAACGAAGUAGGCAAUGCAAACGCGGCGCAAUCUUUAAUCCCCUCGAAGAUGGACACGUACUCUAUAUGGCUGCCAUCGUGUACAUUUAUUCGUGUGUGAGUGUGUGUGUGUGUGUUUUGUUUUAUUUUUUAUCCUUUUGCUAUGCGAUCUGGGGAUAGAACUCCUGCUGGUCCGUCGCAGCAGCAUGCACGUUUGGCCAUCUGUAGCGCCUACGUAUUAAAACUGCCCCUCCCCACCGCACCACACAUAUUCCAUCGAUCAAUCUCCUCCACGGGAUCACCGUUUGCUCUUAUUGCUUGUAUUUCUGCUAGUGGGACCUUAGUGAGCGCCCUUAUUCGAUUUCACUGCCUCUUCUCUCCACCCGCUACCUUUGUAAAUGUCGUAGUUCAGGGAGCACCUUUGAUACGAAUCCAUCUAUGGCGCUCCAAACAUCCCUACUGGCAAUUCUGCGUGCUGAGAAUUCUACUCCACAUCGGCGCAGCUGAGCCACACCGAUUAACUAUCGUGUCUGAAUCUGGGCAUCGAUAUUUAGUCAGAAAGUCUAUGAGAUAUUAAUUUACCUCGUAAUGAGUUCUAUCGAUAUACUUUGGUAACGAUUAGCGUCUUGUAUUCGAUCGAUAAAGGCAUGACAUUUAUCGUUCGGUCAUAUACUUCCCAGACUGCGAUGCCCUUAUUCCGUUGACAAGGCAGCGCCAUCUUCCCUAUAUAUCUUUCGCUAUCCUCACUUCUUUCCGACCAUAAUCAUAUUCGACGAAUAGAUGGCAUACUGUGAGUGAAUGUUUGAAAAAAAAAAAGGAAAAAAAAAAACUUCUUCGUAAACUUUACUUUGGCAUUUCAAUUUAAGCAAUUCUCGUACGAUUUCAGUUGGGGUAUUACGUAAUGUUGUGAAAUACUUUUAGAAAGAUUACAUUUACUAAAUUAUUAUAUAUAUUGAAAAAGUUUCUCUUUUUCAAAAAACGUUUUCAUUGUUAAGAAUGUACAAUUAUUCAGCUCUUAUUCGCUUUGCGCUGGUGUUACGUUUAUUUAAUUAAUUGAAUCGUAAAGUUAGUUUUCGUUGAUACAUUCGAGAUGAAAUGAAUAUUUCAUACUAACAAAUCCUUUGAUAAAUUCCUAGCAUUUCUAAUUAAAUUUUCAAUUUUACUGUGCCUUAAAUCACGUAAGAACAUUAUAGUUAGUCACACUUCUUUUGCGUAGUUUCGUUAUUAUAAGAUAAGCAGAUCUGUGAAAUUCUUUUGAAUGCGAGACUUAAGUAAGUAAAAAAGAAAUUACAUUUGGUUUAAAUCGAAUUCAUUGUGGCCUUCUUUUUUUUAUUAUUAACAUUAGUUGUUUGCUUUUCGAUAGCCGUAAACACAUUUCGAAACGGGAAGAGCAUAUGCAUGUAAACGCAAUGUAGCGCAUUUUACAAGCAAUACAAUCUAAGCAAUAUGGGAGUAGCGUUUGCUAUCACAACUAAUUUAUAUAAAAUUUAAUAUAUUUGAAGCAUAACAUAUGCUAAGUCGUUUGCAUAACAUACCCAAAGAGUUAUACGCACGUAAGAUAAAAGGAAGAAAGAAAAGAGUUAUAGGUAAUCAUUAUUGUUAAUGUUGAGUGAUAUUAGCGGGCGAUUCGCCCUAUCAAAAAUGGCCAAGAAGAUUGGGGAAGGAGGAAGAUUCGCAACACGCGUAAAAUAGACGGAUGAGACGGUUAAUCAUUAAUUAGGAGCAUGAAUAGGAAUUCAGAAGGGUUAAGCGUUUUACCCAAAAGUAGUAUUUUGCCGAUAUAAUGAAAUCUUACCGGUAAUGGGCGUAAUACUUGAAGCUUAAACUUUACGAUAGAAAGAUCUUUCACCGACAUAUUCUUGUCUCAGUUGUAUAUGUAUAUGCAAGCUGUGACCUAUAUUUCAAUUGCAAUGCAUUUAGUUUCCUGUCACCGUCUAGUGCAUUUUUCCAUUGUAGUAGCAAUAAUUUGUAUUUUAUGGCUUUUUAACACGCACUCUCUCGGUUUACAGCAAACUUGUGAAAAGUAUUAUUUCGAUGGAAAAUGCAUUUUUUUUUUUAGAUAAUUUUAUUGCUAUUGCUCUUCUACGUAGUCGCAUUAAAAAAUU